GCGCUCUUAGCUUAAUUGGAUAAAGCAACAGACUUCUAAUCUGUCAAAUCAUCGUAGGUCAAGAGUGUGGGUUCGAGUCCCACAGGGCGUGCCA
rnacentral:tRNA from 2 species